CACGUAGGGCGCAAGCGUUGUCCGGAAUUAUUGGGCGUAAAGAGCUCGUAGGCGGACUGUCACGUCUGCUGUGAAAAGCUGGGGCUUAACCCUGGCCUUGCAGUGGAUACGGGCAGACUAGAGGUAGGUAGGGGAGAAUGGAAUUCCCGGUGUAGCGGUGAAAUGCGCAGAUAUCGGGAAGAACACCGGUGGCGAAGGCGGUUCUCUGGGCCUUACCUGACGCUGAGGAGCGAAAGCGUGGGGAGCGAACAGG
rnacentral:rRNA from 1 species